rnacentral:rRNA from 1 species
CUACGGGCGGCUCCAGUGGGGAAUAUUGCACAAUGGAGGAAACUCUGAUGCAGCAACGCCGCGUGGAGGAUGACACUUUUCGGAGCGUAAACUCCUUUUAUAUAGGAAGAUAAUGACGGUACUAUAUGAAUAAGCACCGGCUAACUCCGUGCCAGCAGCCGCGGUGAAUACGGAGGGUGCAAGCGUUACUCGGAAUCACUGGGCGUAAAGAGCGUGUAGGCGGGUUAAUAAGGCAGAAGUGAAAUCCUAUGGCUCAACCAUAGAACUGCUUUUGAAACUGUUAACCUAGAGUGUGGGAGAGGUAGAUGGAAUUUCUGGUGUAGGGGUAAAAUCCGUAGAGAUCAGAAGGAAUACCGAUUGCGAAGGCGAUCUACUGGAACAUAACUGACGCUGAGACGCGAAAGCGUGGGGAGCAAACAGGAUUAGAUACCCCAGUAGUC